GAUGAACGCUGGCGGCGUGCCUAAUACAUGCCAGUCGAGCGAACAGACGAGGAGCUUACUCCUCUGACGUUAGCGGCGGACGGGUGAGUAACACGUGGAUAACCUACCUAUAAGACUGGGAUAACUUCGGGAAACCGGAGCUAAUACCGGAUAACAUGUUGAACCGCAUGGUUCAACAGUGAAAGACGGUCUUGCUGUCACUUAUAGAUGGAUCCGCGUCGCAUUAGCUAGUUGGUAAGGUAACGGCUUACCAAGGCAACGAUGCGUAGCCGACCUGAGAGGGUGAUCGGCCACACUGGAACUGAGACACGGUCCAGACUCCUACGGGAGGCAGCAGUAGGGAAUCUUCCGCAAUGGGCGAAAGCCUGACGGAGCAACGCCGCGUGAGUGAAGAAGGUCUUCGGAUCGUAAAACUCUGUUAUUAGGGAAGAACAAAUGUGUAAGUAACUAUGCACGUCUUGACGGUACCUAAUCAGAAAGCCACGGCUAACUACGUG
rnacentral:rRNA from 1 species